rnacentral:rRNA from 1 species
UGCUCCGCUCCAUCACAUGGUGGGGUGGGAAAUGCUUUUGCGGAAUGGGAUGGGGUCACGUCAUAGUCACCUUGUUGGCAGGGUGAUGGCCCACCAAAGCGUUGCACCGGUAGCCAGCAUGAGAAGGUGACCGGCCACAUUGACACUGAAAUACGGCCCAGACUCCUACCGCAGGCACCAAUGGGAAAUAUUGCACAAUGAAUCUCAAGCCUGAUGCAGACAACCCCACGUGCGGAAUCCACGCCUUCGAGUUGUAAACCGCUUUUGUUCAACGGCAAUGCACGGUUUCAGCCGUGUUGAGUGGAUUGUUCAAAUAAGCACCAGCUAACUACCUGCCACCACCCGCAGUAAUACGUAGGGUGCGAGCGUUAUCUUGAUUUAUUGUGCGUAAAGGGCUCAUAGGCGGUUCGUCGCGUCCGGAGUGAAAGUCCAUCGCCUAACGGUGUGAUCUGCGCCGGGUACGGGCGGGGUGGAGUGCGGUAGGGGAGACUGGAAUUCCCGGUGUAACGGUGGAAUGUGUAGAUAUCGGGAAGAACACCAAUGGCGAAGGCAGGUCUCUGGGCCGUCACUGACGCUGAGGAGCGAAAGCGUGGGGAGCGAACAGGAUUAGAUACCCUGGUAGUCCACGCCGUAAACGGUGGAUGCUGGAUGUGGGGCCCUUUCCACGGGUCCCGUGUCGGAGCCAACGCGUUAAGCAUCCCGCCUGGGGAGUACGGCCGCAAGGCUAAAACUCAAAGAAAUUGACGGGGGCCCGCACAAGCGGCGGAGCAUGCGGAUUAAUUCGAUGCAACGCGAAGAACCUUACCUGGGCUUGACAUGUGCCGGAUCGCCGUGGAGACACGGUUUCCCUUCGGGGCCGGUUCACAGGUGGUGCAUGGUCGUCGUCAGCUCGUGUCGUGAGAUGUUGGGUUAAGUCCCGCAACGAGCGCAACCCUCGCCGCAUGUUGCCAGCGGGUGAUGCCGGGAACUCAUGUGGGACCGCCGGGGUCAACUCGGAGGAAGGUGGGGAUGACGUCAGAUCAUCAUGCCCCUUACGUCCAGGGCUUCACGCAUGCUACAAUGGCCGGUACAACGCGGUGCGACACGGUGACGUGGGGCGGAUCGCUGAAAACCGGUCUCAGUUCGGAUCGCAGUCUGCAACUCGACUGCGUGAAGGCGGAGUCGCUAGUAAUCGCGGAUCAGCAACGC